UUGUUGUGAGUCUUCCUCGUAAGGUGCAGCAAAUGUCCCCGUGUCAACACGGCUCACGCCGCCUCAGAGACUCUGGCAAAUCGUACUUGAACAGCUUCUCUCUCAGGGAAAUUCUGCAAGGACACAACCCACCAGUCUUUGCCUCAGAGACAUCUCCUGGAAGCGAUCCCCUUUCGGGCACCAUCGCCAUUUAUCAUCGUCCUUGGUGCUCUGUCAACCAGGUUUCAAUUUAUUUUGAAUUCAGUUUGUGAUUAAAAAUUAAGGAGAUCCAA
rnacentral:lncRNA from 1 species